GCAGCAGCCGCGGGAAUACGUAGGUGGCAAGCGUUGUCCGGAUUUAUUGGGCGUAAAGCGAGCGCAGGCGGUUUCUUAAGUCUGAUGUGAAAGCCCCCGGCUCAACCGGGGAGGGUCAUUGGAAACUGGGAGACUUGAGUGCAGAAGAGGAGAGUGGAAUUCCAUGUGUAGCGGUGAAAUGCGUAGAUAUAUGGAGGAACACCAGUGGCGAAGGCGGCUCUCUGGUCUGUAACUGACGCUGAGGCUCGAAAGCGUGGGGAGCGAACAGGAUUAGAGACCCGGGUAGUCCCUGUCUCUUAUAC
rnacentral:rRNA from 1 species